rnacentral:rRNA from 1 species
GACGAACGCUGGCGGCGUGCCUAAUACAUGCAAGUAGAACGCUGAAGAGAGGAGCUUGCUCUUCUUGGAUGAGUUGCGAACGGGUGAGUAACGCGUAGGUAACCUGCCUUGUAGCGGGGGAUAACUAUUGGAAACGAUAGCUAAUACCGCAUAACAAUGGAUGACACAUGUCAUUUAUUUGAAAGGGGCAAUUGCUCCACUACAAGAUGGACCUGCGUUGUAUUAGCUAGUAGGUGAGGUAAUGGCUCACCUAGGCGACGAUACAUAGCCGACCUGAGAGGGUGGUCGGCCACACUGGGACUGAGACACGGCCCAGACUCCUACGGGAGGCAGCAGUAGGGAAUCUUCGGCAAUGGGGGCAACACUGACCGAGCAACGCCGCGUGAGGGAAGAAGGUUGUCGGAUCGUAAAGCUCUGUUGUAAGUCAAGAACGGGUGUGAGAGUGGAAAGUUCACACUGUGACGGUAGCUUACCAGAAAGAGACGGCUAACUACGUG